AAAUAUCCUACAGGGGUUUAUUUAGAGAAUGACAUGUGUACACUGUUAAGUGCUGAUAGUGGAUGCUGCAAUUCCGCUCUCUGGUUGAGAUGCACACGCAAGCUUAGACAUCUUGGUAACGGGUUGGGUGAGGAAGAGUGUAUUGAGUGGGAUUGUGCGCACACAGGGAUGCAGGCUCCUUUCCUCACGUGGUAAUGUCCUAAGGGGGGUGUUCUCGUCACUACUCACCGCUCUAACGAUCUCACCAUAGACAAGCCAUGUGUGUGCAGCCUCUUCUUCCCAGCAAAUGUUAGCUUCACCAUCAGCAAUGUGAGUUCGGGACACAAGCAUUACCUCAGGUUGCUGCCUGUUUCUAUAGGGCAGCUACUUUCCUGCCUUAGCAUAGUAGAAUUAAAAUGUACUUGGUGCUUUAUUGUUUCCAUGUGGAGCUCACCGCCAUCUCAGCAGGAACCAGUGUGUGUUUCUCAACUGUGUUAGCCAGGGCUGAAAAUGUGCCUUCUGUUUGCACUUCCUCGACUGCUAGGGAGGUGGAGCAUCUCCCUGGCCUGCAGGUCAUUUGAGCUUUGUUUCUGUGAAUUGUACAUUGCUAUCCGUCUCACUUUGUAGCACACCUAGGAGAUCAUAUUACACAUGGGCAAUUUGUUGUCUUCAUCUAGAAUAUGUCAUUUGCCCUUUUUCUGUCAAAAUACUUAGCCAGUGUUGUUUUAUGAAGGGCCAGACCGAGUAUUUCAGGUUGGGCUUUUAUGCAGCCUUUGCUGCGUAGAAGCCUCCUGUAUACGCCAGUGGUCCUCAGCCACUUCUGCCACAUCCCCAGGAGGCAUUUGCCAAUGUCCACAGGCAUUUUUUUGUCACUUUAAAAUGACUGCUGCUUAUGUCUAGUGGGCAGAGGCCAGAGAGGCUUCUCAGUGUCCUGGGGUGCACAGCACAGCCCCCCAAAAAUGAUGUCACACUCCAAAAUGUCAUUAGGUUUCUGGCCAGAACAGAAUGGGAUACCACUGUGUAGCAAUAAAACAUUCACAGAGACAAGCAGCUGGCCACAUCGAGCCUGCAAGUGUGCCUUCCCACCUGGUUUUAGUAGCAUUUAUCUGUAUUAUUAGUUUUGUUUCUGAAAUCUCUUUUACCUCAAGUAGUUUUCCAGCCCAUGUGUAACCCAUUAUUUCAGCCCAUUAUUUCUAAAGUGUGGGUUUGUGUUUGCUUGGUUUGGGUUGAGUUUUAUAAAAUAAAGUAAAUCAUUUC
rnacentral:lncRNA from 1 species